UAACUGAAGAGUUUGAUCAUGGCUCAGAUUGAACGCUGGCGGCAGGCUUAACACAUGCAAGUCGAGCGGGGAAAGGUAGCUUGCUACU
rnacentral:rRNA from 1 species